UAUUUCUUUUCCCCUUAUUUUCUCCCGAUUCUUUCUUCUUCCCCCAAUCACGUCGAAUCCUCUCCUUCUCUUCCGCGAUUUCUUUUUUUCCCCCUCUCUAGGUCCCCAUCGUGUCGAUCGCCGGCCACUAGGCAUUGACGCCGACGACUUUCUCCUCGCGCUACCACCUCCUCUCCCUUCUCCCUCACUGUGGUCGCGUCUCUGUCGCCACCCGAUCCCUCACCCCUACCUUCUCUCUCUGUGUCACCUCUGCCCUACAUCGCCGGCACCGCCCGACGCCGUGUGGCCCGACGAACGCUGAGCCAUAGCGUCACUGAUUCUGGUUGCUUCGCUGUUUCUGGAAGGGAGGAGCUACCACCUCUUUGGGCGAAUUCUUGAGUCCGAUUGUCGACAGAUCUGCACCUAGGGCACCGUCGCCUUCUCUGAUCGUGCCGUUCCCAGUAGAUCAACCACCGACUCUCCUUCUUGUCGAUGUAUUUUUGGAGUAGCGACCCGUACCACCACCAGGAGGCGACCAGCUGAGGUGAGGCAUUCAAACAACGGGUUGUUGAAAUUUCACUGAGCAUAUCCCUGAUCUCUUCGGGGCUUACUUCUGUAAGGGAUCCAAGUUGGAGAAGGGGGUUGAUUAGGAUCUUUACCACAGCAGACAGGCAUCCUUGAGGUGGUUAGGUUGUUAGAUGGAUACAUCACUUCUGGAGAAGGGGCUAAGUUUUGUACCAUUAAGGAUUGUUUGAUUUGGAGGGUUGUACUGUCACCUAGUUCUAACCAUCUUAUUCCGACAGUGAUCAUCCCCGGUUGUGAGUCGAUGAAGGAGUAAUUCGAAAUGAGGACUUUGAUUCGAGACGAGCACUUCGACAUGGGGAUUUGUUUAGCUUGAUCUAUAUUUG